UACGUAGGGUGCAAGCGUUGUCCGGAUUUAUUGGGCGUAAAGAGCUCGUAGGCGGUCUGUCGCGUCGGAUGUGAAAACCCAGGGCUCAACCCUGGGCCUGCAUUCGAUACGGGCAGACUAGAGUGUGGCAGGGGAGACUGGGAUUCCUGGUGUAGCGGUGAAAUGCGCAGAUAUCAGGAGGAACACCGGUGGCGAAGGCGGGUCUCUGGGCCAAUACUGACGCUGAGGAGCGAAAGCGUGGGGAGCGAACAGG
rnacentral:rRNA from 1 species